ACGCUCGACACCUACGGGAGUCAGCAGUGGGGAAUAUUGCACAAUGGGGGAAACCCUGAUGCAGCGACGCCGCGUGAGCGAAGAAGUAUUUCGGUAUGUAAAGCUCUAUCAGCAGGGAAGAAACUGACGGUACCUGACUAAGAAGCACCGGCUAAAUACGUGCCCGCAGCCGCGGUAAUCUGAGCGGGCUGGCAAGGC
rnacentral:rRNA from 1 species